CAAAAAUCGACUAAUCAAAUAAAAAGCAAUGUCGAAAAUUCAACCACUAACUAAAUCUAACAGGUAAACAUUUAAAAAUACAAACCACUAAAUAAUGAUCGAAUUAAAUUAAUAAAAAUAUAAAAGUAAAAUAAAUAGCAAGAUACUAUAUAAAAAAGAAAUUAAAUAAAAUAGUAAGCAUAACAAAUAAAAACAUGAAGAUUUGCCAUCCCCAA
rnacentral:lncRNA from 1 species